GGACGAACGCUGGCGGCGUGCCUAACACAUGCAAGUCGAACGAAGCUCCUGCGUUGAUUCUUCGGAUGAAGCAAGGGAAGACUAGUGGCGGACGGGUGAGUAAUGUGUGAGCAACCUGCCUUCAGAGGGGGACAACAGUUGGAAACGACUGCUAAUACCGCAUAAUGCAUUUUGGUGGCAUCACCGGGAUACCAAAGGAGCAAUCCGCUGAAAGAUGGGCUCACAUCUGAUUAGCUGGUUGGUGAGGUAACGGCUCACCGAGGCAUCGAUCAGUAGCCGGACUGAGAGGUUGAACGGCCACAUUGGGACUGAGAUACGGCCCAGACUCCUACGGGAGGCAGCAGUGGGGAGUAUUGGGCAAUGGGCGAAAGCCUGAACCCCCAGCAACGCCGCGUGAAGGAAGAAGGUCUUCGGAUUGUAAACUUCUUUUAUGAGGGACGAAGGACGUGACGGUACCUCAUGAAUAAGCCACGGCUAACUACGUGCCAGCAGCCGC
rnacentral:rRNA from 1 species